AUGCUCAUUCUGACAAAAGGAAAUGAAAGCCCCAAUGAUCCCACAGGGAGGAAAGGUGAGCUGGAGGGAAAUGAAAUGGAAAACAGCAACAAAUUGGAAAUCAGGCACAAGGGUGGUGGGAGGGAGUGUGGAGGCUGUCAAGCAGGGAGACAGCUCCCCAAAGGGCUGGGCUUUCUGGAGAGGACCCAAGACCCUGCAGGUCGGAAUUGCCACUUCCCUGGAGUCAAGGGGAGCCCAGUGCCUGCUGCUGCUGCCGCCCACCAGGAAGAGCUGGCCAUGGCUGAGGCACCUCCGGGCCUGGCGGUCCUCCUGCUGUUCCGUGGGGAAGUCAACUUAGCAGUCACCUUGCGAAGCUGGCUCCAUCUGCAUCUCUGGCUCCUGCCUCCUGCCGUUGGGAAGGUCUUCUCUCCUGCGUGCUGACUCUGCUUCCUCCAAAAGCCUUGGCAGGGGGUCACUGGCUGCUUCCUUCACUGUGCUGCUCUGGGUCCCUUGUGACUCUCACUCAGUCUCCCCUGUGGCUUCGAGCCUGCCUUAAUCUGAGAGGCCUUCGGAGCCAGCUCCAGUCCCUUCCUUCCAUGACCCCCUCUCUAAGCCUGGAGUUCAGGCCAGAGUGAGCACCCCACCAGCUGACUGACCCCAGGGGUCUGAACGUCAUCCUCUGGGUAAGAUAUGCAGGGCUAACUUACUCGGGGGGCAGCAGUUAUGAUGUCACUUUUAUAAACCAACACAUUGGCCUCGGGGUUGUUGGUGCUACCUGCUAAGUCACCUGGAAGGAAGGAGUCUGAACUAAGAAGGAUUUCCAGUGUUCAUUUCCAAUCAAAAAGACUUAAAACUAUGUGUGAGAAGAACAGCGGUAGGAGGUAGCGCUGUUCCCCUGGAGGAGGUGUAGGCGCUAGCACCUUCCCGUGUGCGCAGGGCUGUCAUGGAGCAGAGAAUAGACUCCAUCCUUGUGCUGCGGAGGGUAGAACCAGAGCCUGUGGGUAGCACUUCAGUGUGGACAGACUUCAGCUCAACGGCUGGAAAAGCCAUAGAACCAUCCAGGUGGCCCUGAGCCCUAAGACACACCGAGCUCCCUCCUGUCAGAAGGUUACAAGUGCAGUGAUGACCAACUUGUAGAGAAGGUUUAAGCUUGGAAGAGGAGGAAGGAGAGGCUGUUGGUGGGGAGGGAGAGGCAAAGGGGCCCGAUGACCUUCAAAGUCUUUCCAGUCCUGGAGAAUCUGACCACGACUACACAGGACAAUGGCUUCAACCAGCAAGGGACUUCCAAGGCCUCCAGAAACAAUUGCCCUAAUCAUGCAUCAUAAAGUCUGCACGGAACUGCAGAGGUCAUCGCCCCUGUGCCCGAGGUGCCCCGGCCCAGCAGUGAGUUUAUGGCCCGUGCAGGUGGAAUUUCUGUGGGGUCGUGGUGGCAGGUAGUGGAGGGCUCUGCGGUGGCAGGCGGAGGCGAGCUCUGGAGCCAGGCACCGAGCUGGGAGGCUCUUGCCGAGGCCCCUCCAUCAGCCGCGAGUGGAUAACAGCGUGCAGAUGUCCUCUUCGGGCUGGAGGGAGCUCCGCUCAGCUGGCAGCAGUGAAACAAGUGUCUCUCCAUUGUUGAGCUGCCUCGCCAGCUGCUGACAAGGGAGGGGUUUGCAGACAGAUUGAACCCACGGAGGGAUAAAAGUCGCUCGGAGACAAACACACACACUCACAGAAUUUCCUGAGCUGAAGCUGUUUGGAAACUCCUGUCAUACUCGCAACUCCAGCAAAGAGAAGGGAGGUGAGCGGGGAAGUGGCGGCUGCAGACAGAGGCUGGGGACGUUGGGCGCUGGUACUUCUCUAGAAUUCUCCUCCUUCGUUAUGGAAGCUUCCUUUCAGAAUGACUGGGGAGUGGUGUGACUCAUGACUGCAGUGCCUUCACUCCUCAAGGAGCAAGACGCUGGUGGCCUCGCUGCAGGCUGGCUCUCGCCAGGGAUUUUUCCAGGUUCCUCUGGUGGGGAAGGGGGGGUACCUUGCGCUAGCUAACAUGGGCCAGUGCCCCCGAGAUGCCACCACUCCGAGCCUUGGAAACAUCCGGUGAACCUUCCCCUCUUCUGUACAGGCGGUUGGUGUCCUGUGGGCACAACCACAGGAUCUCAGAGCAGGUACGAGCCAAAUUGUCCUGCCGAUGGUAGAGCUAGGAGAUUGACGGGGCUGAGGACGCAUGACAGGACAGGAGUCUGUGCUGCUGGUUAAGUCCUGCAGGCCAGGGGCAGCCCGGGGGGCUCAGUGGUUUAGCGCCACCUUCAGCCCAAGGUGUGAUCCUGGAGACCCGGGAUCGAGUCCCACGUUGGGCUCCCUGCACGUUUGCUUCUCCCUCUGCUUAUGUCUCUACCUCUCUCUCUGUGUGUCUCUCACGAAUAAAUAAAUAAAUCUUAAGAAAAAAAAAAAAAAG
rnacentral:lncRNA from 12 species